GAUGAAGAACGUAGUGAAAUGCGAUAAUUAAUGUGAAUUGCAGAAUUCAGUGAAUCAUCGAGUCUUUGAACGCACAUUGCGCCUCAUGGUAUUCCGUGAGGCAUGCCUGUCUGAGCGUCAUUUCAACCAUCAAGCCCCCAGGGGCUUGUGCUGGGGCCCUGCGGCUGCCCGCAGGCCCUGAAAACCAGUGGCGGGCUCGCUAGUCACACCGAGCGCAGUAGCACAUCUCGCUCAGGGCGUGCGGCGGGCUCCUGCCGUGAAACCCCCCACUGUAACCCCAAAGGUUGACCUCGGAUCAGGUAGGAAUACCCGCUGAACUUAAGCAUAUCAAUAAGCGGAGGA
rnacentral:misc_RNA from 1 species